rnacentral:rRNA from 1 species
UACGUAGGUGGCGAGCGUUGUCCGGAUUUAUUGGGUUUAAAGGGUGCGUAGGCGGUCCUAUAAGUCAGUGGUGAAAUAUCGCAGCUCAACUGUGAGGGUGCCAUUGAUACUGUAGGACUUGAGUGCAGGAGAGAAGAGUGGAAUUCCACGUGUAGCGGUGAAAUGCGUAGAGAUGUGGAGGAACACCAGUGGCGAAGGCGACUCUUUGGCCUGUAACUGACGCUGAGGCGCGAAAGCGUGGGGAGCAAACAGG